GGGCCGCUGGUCUAGUGGUAUGAUUCUCGCUUAGGGUUGUAUCCUGAGCAAAACAUGCGAGAGGUCCCGGGUUCAAUCCCCGGGUGGCCCC
rnacentral:tRNA from 1 species